CAAUAGCGUAUAUUAAAGUUGUUGCAGUUAAAAAGCUCGUAGUUGGACCUUGGACCUGGACAGGCGGUCCGCCUCACGGCGUGUACUGUCUUGCUGGGUCUUUCCUCUUGGUGAUCUGUUGUUUCGGCAGCAGGGAACCAGGACUUUUACUUUGAAAAAAUUAGAGUGUUCAAAGCAGGCUCGACGCCGGAAUAUAUUAGCAUGGAAUAAUAAAAUAGGACGUGCGGUUCCAUUUUGUUGGUUUUUGGAAUCGCCGUAAUGAUUAAUAGGGACAGUCGGGGGCAUUAGUACUCACAUGCUAGAGGUGAAAUUCUUGGAUUUUGUGAAGACUAACUUCUGCGAAAGCAUUUGCCAAGGAUGUUUUCAUUAA
rnacentral:rRNA from 1 species